CCUUCGGGGUACCGAGUGGCGAACGGGUGAGUAACACGUGGGUGAUCUGCCCUGCACUUUGGGAUAAGCCUGGGAAACUGGGUCUAAUACCGAAUAUGACCAUGGACUUNNNNNNNNNNNGUGGAAAGCUUUUGCGGUGUGGGAUGGGCCCGCGGCCUAUCAGCUUGUUGGUGGGGUAAUGGCCUACCAAGGCGACGACGGGUAGCCGGCCUGAGAGGGUGUCCGGCCACACUGGGACUGAGAUACGGCCCAGACUCCUACGGGAGGCAGCAGUGGGGAAUAUUGCACAAUGGGCGCAAGCCUGAUGCAGCGACGCCGCGUGGGGGAUGACGGCCUUCGGGUUGUAAACCUCUUUCAGUAGGGACGAAGCGCAAGUGACGGUACCUACAGAAGAAGGACCGGCCAACUACGUGCCAGCAGCCGCGGUAAUACGUAGGGUCCGAGCGUUGUCCGGAAUUACUGGGCGUAAAGAGCUCGUAGGUGGUUUGUCGCGUUGUUCGUGAAAUCUCACAACUCAAUUGUGAGCGUGCGGGCGAUACGGGCAGACUGGAGUACUGCAGGGGAGACUGGAAUUCCUGGUGUAGCGGUGGAAUGCGCAGAUAUCAGGAGGAACACCGGUGGCGAAGGCGGGUCUCUGGGCAGUAACUGACGCUGAGGAGCGAAAGCGUGGGGAGCGAACAGGAUUAGAUACCCUGGUAGUCCACGCCGUANACGGUGGGUACUAGGUGUGGGUUUCCUUCCUUGGGAUCCGUGCCGUAGCUAACGCAUUAAGUACCCCGCCUGGGGAGUA
rnacentral:rRNA from 1 species